UUUUUUCAUAGCCCAGGCUGGCCUCAAACUCAUUGUGCAGCUGAGGCUGAACUGAGCUCCUAAUCCUCCUACCUCCAUCCUCCAAGUGUUGGGGCCACAGGUUUGAGUCACCCUACAAGUUUCCCUUACCUUUCUACUUCCUGUGUCGUUCCUUCUUCCCCUGUGAUGAAGGUCACAAUGGCCUCUUUGUCCCUGUUUAAUCUAUGAAGGAAGAACUCACUGGCUGUCUUCCUUUUCCCCAUCUUCAGAUACGGGGAGAAGAAUGUCAAAACCCACAAAGAAAUGAAGUGACCAACCGUCUAGGUUUAACAUGGAAAGUCUCUCAUAUCCCAAGGCAUUCCGCAGCCCUUGGCAAAUUAAGGAUAGUCACCAUACUUAUGGGACCUUUCUCUAUCAAAAACCACUAAACUCCUUGGAUCUGAGUCCCUGUCUGUCUUUUCAUGAAAAACUGGAGAAAGGGACUUGGGACGAGCAGACAUGGUGAUAAACCAAAUGCAAAUUCAAGAGACAAGAGUGGAUUCAUUCUAUCUGGAGAACUGCUACACAGCAUUAGUUCCACCCACGGCUUCCAGGAAUCCAGACAGCACAGCUUGAGUGUGGAAGAUGCAGAAGACACACAGCAGCCCAGGUUUCGAGGAGACCUAAACGUGUCCUCUUCCUAAGAAGCUCCUGUCAGGAAGCCUGCUGUGUUAAGAUGAGAUGUUACCAGGGAAGAGGAGGCUGUGGUCCAGCUACUCUAACCAGAUGAACACUGGCAACCACUUUUGAUGUUUAAUAAAGUCUGCUUCCAUGCCAGGGAUAGAGGGAUUCACUAUGCUUUCUCUACAUUUGACUUUGCAGUCCUUAGGAAUGCCCAGUUCUGAAGAUCCCACCUCAUCUUGCUGGAAGCCAGAAUGAUCCAAGGCUCAGAGGUCCUGAAGAAAGACAAAAAGAAUGCUAGUUCUUUGCCCUUGCUUAGGAGCAGACUUGGCAAGGGCCAGUCUUGGCCUGGGCCUCAAAGGAUUAAGGUUUCAGUUCCUAGGAACCCAGCUUUUUCCCUCUGAAGGGCUGUGGUUAUCAGUCCUAAGGCAGCUGUGUCUGAGAUAUCCUGUGUUCUCUUGCCAGCAUUAUCUGAUUUAGCUUUCUACUGACCUUGACCAUUCUCCCUCAGCAAAUAGGAUAUAUCAAAUGCUUUACUUCUUAAUAAGCUUGCUCGGUAUAAGACAUAGCGUGUUCAAGACCUGUCAACCCCAGCUUCCUACCUUCUCCUCUGGCCCUCCCUCCGAGAAUGCUGGUACUUAAGAACAACUGCUGGUCCAGGUCACGAACCCUCUCCAUUAGCAACUAGAAAGGAAAAGAAAGAAAAACCUACCAGGUAUUGGUUAAAACAAACUAACAAAGCCAACUAGGAGAUUUCAGCUUCACCACUCAUUAACAUUUCCACCUCCUGCUGCCAACUUGCUCUGUCCUGAAGCAAAGAACCAUCUGGGAAAUGGGGUAGGGCAGGGCAUUGUGUGUAGGUGACAGAGGAGACUCAAUGAAAGGCCAGAGAGCGGAGACCACCAAAUCACCUGGAAUAGUCUUCAAGUGAGGAGAAAAUGUCUUCUUGGCACUGUGCUAUCUAGCUAUUUCUCUUUGGUAUUGUGGGCUCUCUUAGGUGAGAGACGGAAAGAGCUUUUCUUUUCCUCUGUUACUUCGAUUGGCUGUGGUCAAAAUCUGCCCCAAAACACAGGGUCUAGGAGGAAAUAAAAGAUCGGUGCAUUUGGCCAAAAGUGUCCUCUUUGCACACAGUCUAGAAAACUAAGUAUUGAUUUGAAUGUGAACAAUGCAGGGACAAACUUGAAGAGCUGGGUUCAGGCACACUCUUGCUCUGUCCCUGAGCAGAACUUGCCUCACUCUAUUCUUCUACAAAAUGCAAAUGGUCACUGAGCUGGCUGGAUCUGUGUGACUGUGCCAACAUGGAUAGCCAAGGGCCACUGUUACAAGUUUGGCUAAAUACACGUUUUGCCUGUUCUGCUGAUUACAUAAUAUCUUCAUUUCACUUACAGAAAUUGAGUUUAGAAGGCAACGGUUUAUCAGAUCCAAAAUGGAAAAUGAGUUUUAUUUUCUGUAAAUAGAAAGCAGCCAUAGAGAUAAACUAAUAAAAAUAAGACCAAACUAUUAAAUUCUAACCAGAUGUCAACACUCAGAGCGUGUCCCCUGCCUCUGCAUGUCCCAGGAAGACAAAUGUGUCAGUAGACUCCCCCUAUCUCCCCUCUGGGAGAAUUCAGAGGAUGAACUCCAAACUACAGGAAUUCAUCGAUUUAACACAAGUUACGUUCCAUGUGUUUGGAAACAAAGAUAGAAGGGAAAGAAACUGCUUAAUAUUUUUAUUAGUAUUAUAUACUUCAUCCAGAUUGUGUCUCCUUCUACUCUAGCUCCUUCUGAACUUAUUGAACAGUAACAGAAGCUUACUAAUGAACUCCUUUCUGCUGGACAUUCGGUUAAGUGCUUUCCAUGGAUUUUCUCAUAAAAAACCUUUACAAGUACCCAAAUGGCUCCCACUAAAAAUGAACAAACCUCAGCAGAGACAUCAUCUGGUGACUGACCAGACAGGUGAUGCUGUAUGUACUCUGCUACUGGCCUUGCAAUUGUCAACCCCACACAUCACUUCACAUCAAUUCUUGUGUGCUUCAUGCUGCCAGCCUGGGAGAGCAGGCAAUUCAAUAGCUGACGGUAUCCAGUGUCUUCCACAAGGCCAGCGGGACUGGUUUUAGGAUGAAGCGGCAGCUCAGACAUAGCAGUUGUCCUGUUGGCAGGAGCCAGCCCCAGAGUGGGACUCACCUGACUUCCUUCCCCCUUGAGGGACUGUUUGGAGUCAGACUGAAAAAACUCUGCUUCCAGUCAUCCCUAAGCACCUGGAUGUUUAGCAAGUAUAGGAGGUAUGAUAACCAACACCUCAAAACGAUGUCAAGUGUGACCUCCUUUCCAAGGCCUGAUUAGUUCUCAAAGAUUGCUGCCCUAGGAUAGAGUCUAAGGGACAUUAUGGAAAUAUUAAGAAAAAAAAUUACAAAACACACACACACACACACACACACACACCCAGAAAACCAAACAAAACACUUAUAAUAAACCUGGGAUUAUACUGGGUGCUCCCACUGGACCCUCACCACUGCCUGGUGGGAGUGGGUAACUGUUACCACCUUACAAAUGAGGAAAGCUGAGGCUCCAGCACAAGGCUCUCCAGCACAGACCACUGUCUCCUGAUCAGAGCUGUUGUCUGAGGAAAUUAGAUCUGAACCCAGGACUUCUGCCUCCAUGUACGGAGUCACUUAGCCCCAUAUGCCUGGCAGCAUGUGAUACAUGGUUCUUUCUGAUUCUGACACUCAGAGGUCAUCUGUGAACUAUUUUAAGGCCUUUGUAGAAACAGGCCAUUGUACCACACUGCUGCUGAAGAAACAGAAUGGAUGGAGAACUCUCCAUCAGGCAUUACUAAACUGGCCAAGAUAUGGUCUGUACGCCUUCAAAAUGGUUUUUGCUUUUUAAUGUCUGCGUUGAAAUCCAAGAGUAUUAUUUUGUGAUGUGAAUAUUAUGUGGAAUUCAAAUUUCUAUCUAUAAAUAAAGUUUUGUCGUAAUAUGGC